AGGGGUUUCUUUCGGCCUCCAGCG
rnacentral:miRNA from 1 species